GAUAGAUAACCAAUCAUUUAAAGUCUUCUGUCUUCAAAAGUUUGAUUCUUAAAAAUUACGUUUUAUAAAUUUUGGUUUCGUUCGAAAUUUUAAUAAUAAUAUAUAUAUAUAUACACUUAAAACUUUUACGAAGGUAUACAGCAAGAAAAAUCAAUGGAUGGCUCCUUCACACUUCUUAUUCUUUCCUCCAUUUUAUUGCUUAUUAUAACAAUAUCCACUGCAGCUGACACCAUAACUAUAACUCAACCUAUUAAAGAUGGAGAAAGCAUAGUUUCAGCUGAUGAGGGCUUUAGAUUAGGAUUUUUUAGCCCAGGCAACUCCAAAAAUCGAUACUUGGGUAUAUGGUACAACAAAGUAUCUGUCGCGACCGUAGUUUGGGUUGCUAACAGAGAGAUCCCCCUCGCCGAUUUAUCAGGUGUUCUGAAGAUUACUGAGCGAGGACUAGUACUUGUCAAUCACAAUGAAACCAUAAUUUGGUCUUCCAACUCCACGGGAUCUGUGAGGAAUGUUGCGCGGCUUUUGAAUUCAGGAAACCUUGUAGUAAUAGAUGAGGAUAACCCUGAAGAUUAUUUGUGGCAGAGUUUUGAUUAUCCAUGUGAUACAUUCCUUCCAGGGAUGAAGCUUGGAUGGAAUAGAGUAAUAGGCCUGGAUCGCUACAUAUCGUCAUGGAAGACACCUGAUGAUCCUGCUCGAGGUAAUUUUACGUGUGGAUUUGAUCCUGCUGGUUAUCCUGAGAUGAUUGUGAGAGAGAACUCAAUUGAGCGUUUUCGAGUUGGACCAUGGAACGGUCUUAGGUUUAGUGGAUUUCCUGCGUUAAAGCCAAACCCCCUAUACACAUAUGAGUUUGUUCUCAAUGAAAAAGAAAUAUAUUACCGUACACAGCUUCUUGACAACUCGCUUCAUUCAAGGUUGGUGAUAAAUCGGAAUGGCAUUCUCCAGCGCUUCACUUGGAUCGAGCGAACACAGAACUGGGAGCUUUAUCUUACUUUCCAAAUUGAUAAUUGUGAUAGUUAUGCUUUGUGUGGUGCAUAUGGUAGCUGCAAUAUUAAGGACUCUCCAGUGUGUAGUUGCUUGAAAGGAUUUGUUCCAAAAGUUCCAAAAGAGUGGGACAUAUUCGAUUGGUCAAGUGGUUGUGUUAGAAAGACUCCACUAGAUUGCUCUGGAGAUGGAUUUCGUAAGUACUUUGCCGUGAAGUUGCCAGAGACUCGUAAAUCCUGGUUUGAUAGGAGUAUCAAUCUUGAGGACUGCAGAAUCAUUUGCAUGAAGAAUUGCUCAUGUACAGCCUAUUCAAAUUUGGAUAUUAGGGAUGGAGGAAGCGGGUGCCUUCUGUGGUUUAAUGACCUGAUUGAUAUUAGAGGAUAUGAGGAGAAUGGUCAAGAUAUUUAUGUAAGGAUGGCUGCGUCAGAACUAGGUAUGAAGUUCUUUUGAUACAAAGCUGUUAAAUUAUUCUUUUCUUUCAUUGCCUUCACCAAAUAUAAUUGGAUUUCCUGACUCAUUUUCUGUUGUGACAACAGAAAAUAAGUCGGGCCUAAACCAUAAUUUGGUCAGCAAGCUGAUUGGAUAUGAUGUGCACAGGAGCACCAAUUUGACAAUGAAUUGGAGUAAUUCUUUUUCUUAGUUUGCCGUUCGCCGUUCCAUGUGUUAAUCCUAGCUACAUGGAAUAGCAGGGGUAUAAUAUAAUUUCUCCAAUGUAUUGUGUGUAUACUUGAAUUCGUUUGCAUGACAGCAUAACUUAGCGUGCAUAGCCUGUUACAUCGUUUAGCAUGAAUAAUAAUUCAGAAUAGCUAAACCUCCAAGCAGCAACAUAAUGGACUAAUUUGCUUAGCAUAAGACACUAUUAGUUACCUCCAAGUUCUAACAGUAGCGACCAAAUGCAUAUGAAAAUUUGCUGUUUUUAAAAAUGAAUUUGGUAGCUGUGGUAGAGUUAUCCAGCGCCAUUAGGCCUUUUUCUAGAAAAUGAAUUGGAAAACAAAAUUAUCAUUGAUUUCUAACUCCCAGUCUUUCUGCUUGUGACUGCUUUAUGUGUAGAUGAUGACAUGAGGAUUAGGAGUAAAUCCAACGUGAGGAUCAUUGUAAGCUCUGUGUUAUCUACAGGGAUUCUGUUCCUGGUGGUAGCUAUAGUCUUGUGUGUUAGGAAAGCGAAACAGCAGAAAGCUGGAAAAGAAACUGGCAGUUUGGAAGGAAAUGCAAAUGACGAGGGCCAAAAAGAAGAUCUAGAACUACAGCUGUUUGAUUUUGGCACUAUUGUUCAUGCAACUAAUAAUUUCUCUGUCACCAAUAAACUCGGAGAAGGAGGCUUUGGACCUGUUUUUAAGGCAACAGUCUGAAUGAAGUAACAAAAAAUUUUUUAUUGCUUCACCAAUUGAUUGUGCAACUCUUUCCAUUUUUAUAUUUCUCCACUACAGUUUGUCACAAAUUAUUCAAUCAACAGGAUUUAGCAUUAUUGUGGAUAAAUUGAUAGUUCAGCAAUUGUUCCAACUUCAAAGCCUAAACAGAUAAGCAGAGAAGUAUGUAGCACAGUAGCACUAAAACAAAAUUCUAAACUUUCAUAAUCAAAAUUAGACUUUGCUAAUUAAAUGAUGUGAUUACUUACAGGGAACGUUGAAAGAUGGACAAGAAAGUGCUGUGAAGAGGCUCUCAAAGAAUUCAACCCAAGGACUUGAUGAGUUCAAGAAUGAAGUAAUGCAUGUUGCCGUACUUCACCAACGGAAUCUGGUGAAGCUUCUAGGAUGCUAAUUUGUCCUGGUUUAUAGUUUCCUUUGAAGCCAAUUUGAAAAUGUCUUGGAGAGCUUCAGGGUUUCUCUGCAUUCAAUGGAAUACAUGCAGCAUACCAAUCUGUUUUGUUUAAGAAAAGUGCACAUUUCGAUACGCUAUUGAUCUCUUUUGCAUUCCGAAAAUAUUACCGGUACGAUUUAUACACUUUUUGUUUGUAAUUUGCACACCUCACGCUAAUUAUACAAAGCAUCGACAGUAACGCCAUUUUUGCCGCGGACGCAUCAUCAGUCUGCUACUUUCGUCCAGGAACGAAGUUUAAUCCUUCUUUUCCCGGCAUAUUUAAGCCAAUAAUCAUCAGUUUGGCAAAUAAGUAUCGCAGUCUUAGCUGUCCGCAUGGGUAGGAUAUGGAGAGUCCUCCUCUUUCUUGGAAACCACCAGAACGAGGGCUUAUUAAGAUGAAUUGUGAUGCGUCUUUAAUGGAUGAUGAGAGAAUUGGUUAUGGUGUUGAUUUUAGAGACGCCGAUGGGGCUGUGAUAGCGUGUGCUUCGAAGUGUUCGAUAGCUAGUUGGGAUCCGGAUGUUGCUAAAGCCAUGACUUUGUCCUAUGUUCUGUGAUUGGCAUCUGAAUUGAGUUUUAAGAAGGCUUGUGCUGAAUCAGAUUGUAAAGCUGUCAUAGACUUGCUCAGAGGGGAAGUUCAUCAGGUGAAUGCUAUGGGCACUGCCCUGUGGUAUUGUGCGUCUUUUUGGCAAUCAGCUUAUCCGCUCGUGGUCUUUUGCCCCUAGGAGCUGCAAUACCUGCAGCAAUUACCUUUUUUUUGUUCAAAAAAUAACGUAAAUUCAUUGCAAAGAAGGAUCUUGACCCAUUACAACAAAAUAGAGACCAAUUAAUAUAGGACAGAUCCUCAAAUCAACCCAGCUCAACCAACGAAUUAUUUAGAAAAAAAAAA
rnacentral:misc_RNA from 1 species